rnacentral:rRNA from 1 species
UGGGGAAUUUUGGACAAUGGGCGCAAGCCUGAUCCAGCCAUGCCGCGUGCGGGAAGAAGGCCUUCGGGUUGUAAACCGCUUUUGUCAGGGAAGAAAUCUUCUGAGUUAAUACCUCGGGAGGAUGACGGUACCUGAAGAAUAAGCACCGGCUAACUACGUGCCAGCAGCCGCGGUAAUACGUAGGGUGCAAGCGUUAAUCGGAAUUACUGGGCGUAAAGCGUGCGCAGGCGGUUUUGUAAGACAGAGGUGAAAUCCCCGGGCUCAACCUGGGAACUGCCUUUGUGACUGCAAGGCUUGAGUGCGGCAGAGGGGGGAUGGAAUUCCGCGUGUAGCAGUGAAAUGCGUAGAUAUGCGGAGGAACACCGAUGGCGAAGGCAAUCCCCUGGGCCUGCACUGACGCUCAUGCACGAAAGCGUGGGGAGCAAACAGGAUUAGAUACCCUGGUAGUCCACGCCCUAAAACGAUGUCAACUGGUUGUUGGGAAGGUUCCUUCUCAGUAACGUAGCUAACGCGUGAAGUUGACCGCCUGGGGAGUACGGCCGCAAGGUUGAAACUUAAAUGAAUUGACGGGGUCAUAGC